rnacentral:sRNA from 1 species
GCCAGAUGUGGUGGUGCACACCUGUAAUCCCAGUGGCUUGGGAGGCUGAGGCAGGAGGAUUGAGAGUUCAAGGCCAGCCUCAGCAUUAAAGUGAGGUGCUAAGCAACUCAAUGAGACCCUGUCUCUA